CCGUUGCCAAUGGAGGAUGCUGCAAGAGUCCGCUGUUCUUAAACGGCGUUGCUCUAGUAACAGGCCCAAACCGUCCCGGAAAGCGAAUCGAUGUUGGUGGUAGUGUCAGGGAUCCCCAGGGACGAGGCCUCCAGAAAGAGGUGCUUUCUGCCAUCCGGGGAAUGAACUGGGCACCUCGUCCUGCGUCAGGAUCCGUGACGGCCGCCAUAGCAGUGCCUCCCCGUCCUCCGACUCCAGGUCCAGGCGUUGACCAAUUAUCCUCGGGGCUAUGAGGUUACAGUGGCUGAGGGCGGUGUUGGCAGGACCAGCAAGAAGAUCUUCAGCCCAGCGGGUCCAGCCUGUUGCACCAUUUAGUGGCGUCGUUACUGAUCAUUGAUUCAGCUCCAUCCACGAAACCUCCCAGACUCAGACCCGGGGGGAGAGGUGGAGAGAACUGGACUGCGAGUUCCCUGGGGCCUCUUACUCGUGAUUCUACACGAGUUUCCACCCUCCCAGCGCCCGGUGUGCUCUCUCCGCUCAGGCACAGGACUGCUCCGUCUGCCAGUUAAACAGAUUGAAUUUUGGGCUCCAAUGCAAUGAUGAAGCGCAGAAGAAAGUAAUUUGGCCUUUUAUACCUGUCCUAUCUCUUUGAAGUUAGUCCCACGUCUCUGUCCUAUCCUCAAAAUCUUGUGAAUAUUUAUCAGCUCCUUUAUUUUAAUCUACCUUUACAUCGUUCUCCACUUUAAAGCUUUGCAUGCCAAAUCAUAAGAACGCGUUGCAUAUAAAGACUGCACCCUGAAUUGAUUUUCCAAUUCUCUGUUAAUCUCCAAAUUGACUCUGGCAGUGGGGAAGUUGAUUCAGGUGAUGGAUGAAGUUGCUCCACAUGUGUUUACAUCAGUGAAUAAGAGAUCAGACAUUUAACUGACUCCACUCUCCUGCCUUGUCACUGGAUUCUAUCCUCCGGAUGUCAAAGUUGUCUUCUGAGAAAUGGUGAGCUGAUGAUGACUGGCAUUCUGGUCAACCACAAUGGCACAAACCAACUCAGGAAGUGGCCUGGCUUCGAGCUGCAGGACCGAGCCACCUAUUCUUGUCAGUAUGAACACAGCAGCAAAGGAACUGAGACCAGGCACUUGGUUGCCCUGAAGAAAACGGUGGUGGACGGCCUUCUUGAUUGGCAUAGGUAGACCCACAAUAUCUUUAGAGAGGGAGUUCCAGAAUUUUGACCCAACAACAUUGGAGGAAUGGUGACAUAUUGCCAAGUCUGGAGCAACCGACUUAGAGAAAAGCUUGCAAGUGGUGGUGUUCCCAUGUAUCUGCUGACAUUUUCCUUCUAGAUGGAAAUGGUCAUGCAUUUAGAAGAUGCUUUUGAAGGAACCUUGUGGAUUUCUGCAACACACCCUGCAAAUGAUGCACAGUGUUGGAGUUGCACUCAUCCAGACAUACUUCUGACUUGUACCUUGUAGAUGGUGGACAGGAUUUGGGAGUCAGCAGAUGGGGAUUUCCAACUCCAGAAGAAACAAAUCUCAGUUUAAUUGUUGGAAUUGUUGCUGCUGCCAUUGCUCUGAUUGCUGUCAUCAUUGGUGUCAUUGAUUGGAAGAAGAGAGAGAGUCCGACGUGGUUGGCUCUGGAGAAGACUUUUCUUCGAGGAAUUUAUUGAAGAGGAAUCGUUUUUAUUCAGUUAAUCAGCUAAGCGGUUGAUUUUAUUUAAGUUUUGUAUGUUUGAUGUAUACAAUUUUAGUAUUUUCCAUUUUACAUUAUUUUCUGUAGGUAAUGAAAGAUGGUUUAUUAUAUAUAUAAGGUGUUAUUGAAACGUCCUUUUUUUAGGCUUAAUGUUAUUAAGAUCAUAUAUGCGGUAUAGAGUGAGAUAGCUUGUAGAAGAUAGCUUGGAAAAGUUAUGACCCAGCAAGAUUGAUCGGAUAGAUGGGUGACUGUUAGGAUAGGUAAGAAUAUCUCCAAUGGCUAUUCCUCUACCAAAUAGAUAUUCAGCUUUUGGAACUGUUGAAGGGCAUAGUCUCUCUGGGGAAAAUGGAAGGGCUAGUCACUUUUUGGACACUUGGAAUGAUUCUUACGUUAGGCAGCAUUUGAGAAGACUUAGUAGAAUGAUUGUUAUAGGGGCCUCUCCUGUCAAAGGCUUAGACAGGAGAUUCUGUGGCAGUGAGUGUAAAUUUAGGAUGGUUUGUUAAUUGCCUGGUGCUAGGAUUAAGGACGUCUCUAAACGUUUCAAGCAUAUUGUUAAAGGUGAGAUUGAGAAGCCAGAAAUUAUUGUACACGUUGGUAGGAGUGACAUUUUUAGGGAAAAGAUCAAAGCAGUACAAAGUGAAUUUAACAGGUUAGGCAAAAGAUUUUAAAAAAAAAAACCUUAAAAGUAGUAAUUUCUGGUUUACUCCCAAUGCCAAACGAGGUAGGGAGAAAAAGUUUAGAGGAGACAAAUCAAUGGCGAAGAGCUUGUGUAUUGUUCAGGGAUUCAGGUUUUUGGACAAUUGGAAUGUCUUUUGCGUUAGAAAAGACAUGUUCCAAAAGAAUGGGUCUAAGUUAAACUGGAAAGGGACCAAUAUCUUAGCAAGGAGAUUAGCUCAUUCCAUUAAGGGAGACUUUAUACUGACAGAGAGGGGGAGUGGGGGAAUUCUAAGUAACAGUGUAAACAGAAGGAUUGAUGAGGAAGGUUCUGAAUGUGAGGCGAGCACAUCAAUUACAAAAGAAAGACGAGAGAGUCAGAGUAUGUAGUAAUUCUGAAGAACUAAAUUGCAUUUUUUUUCAAUGCAAGGAGCCUUGCAGGCAAAGCUGAUGAACUCGGGGCAUGUUUAAGAACAUGGGAUUGGGACACCAUAGCUAUUAUAGAAACUUGGCUGCGAGAUGGACAAAACUGGCAAUUCCAUGUUCUGGGUUUUAGGUGCUAAAGGAACAAUAGAAAAGGAGGCAAGAAGUGUGUGUGUGGGGUUGUGUUUUUCAUUAAGUAAUACAUUAUUGCUUUAACUAGGGAAGAUAUUUCUGAAAAAUUGUCCACUGAAAAUAAGAAAGGAAAGAUCACUUUGAUGGGAUUGUACUGUAGGCGCUCCAAUAGUAAGAGAGAAAUUGAGAAGCAAAUAUGUAUGGAGAUCUCAGAUAUAUAUAAGUAUAAUAAGGUUGUAAUAAUGACGGAUUUUAAUUUUCCAAAUAUUGACUGGGAUUGCCAUAGUGUUGAAGGUUUGGAUCAUGACAAGUUUGUCAAAUGUGUUCAAAAAAAGUUUUCUUUGUCAAUAUGUGGAUGCUCUUACAAGAGAAGGAGCAAAACUAGAGCUUCUUUUGGGCAAUAAGGCAGGGAAAGUGACUAAAGUAAAUGUGGUGGAACACUUUGGGUCUAGUGAUCAUAAUUCUAUUAGUUUCAAAAUGGUUAUGGAAAAGGAUAAGCCUUCCAUAAAAGUUAGAGUUUUUAAUUGGAGUAAGGCAAAUAUCAGUGGUAUGAGACAAAAGUUGAUUGGAGUAGACUGUUCGCAGGCAAAAGGAAGUUUGACAAGUGGGAGACGUUCAAGAGUGUGAUGACAAGAGUUCCUGUUGAGUGCAAGGUAAGGCUGGUAAGAUUAAGGAACAAUGGAUGAAUAAGAAUAUUGAGGUUCUAGUCAAGAAUAAAAGAGAAUCUUAUUUCUGAUAUAGACUACUUGAUUCAAUUGAAUCUCUUAAUCAAUAUAGUGUAUGGGCAUUGUUAAGAGACAAAUCAGGAAGACAAAGAGGGGCUAUGAGAUAACAUUGCCAGAUGAGGUUAAGGAUUAAUCUACAGAGAUUCUACAAAUACUUUAAGAACAAGAGGGUAACCAGAGAGAGGGCAGGGCCUCUUAAAGAUCAAAGACGUCAUCUUUGUGUUGAACCCCUGGAGAUGGGAGAGAUAUUAAAUGUAUAUUUUGUGCCAGCUUUUACUGUGGAGAAAGAAAUGGCACCUAGAGAAUGCGGAGAAAGAAAUGGUACCUAGAGAAUGCAGAGAAAUAAACAUUGACGUUUUCCACAACCUUCAUGAAAAAAGAGGAAUUUUGGGAGCUCAUAGAGAAUAUAAGGGUAGAUAAAUCUCUGGGCCCUGAAUGUGUGGGAAGUAAGGGAGGAAAUUACUAGACCCUUUGCAAAAAUAUUUGCAUCAUCUGUAACUACAGGUGAAGUGCCUGAUGACUAGAGGGUGAUUCAUGUUGUACCUUUGUUUAAGAAAAGUUAAAUGGAGAAACUGGGGAACUAUAGACCUGUGAGUCUGACUUAAGUUGUGGGUAAAUUGUUGAAGGUGAAUAUAAAAGAUAGGAUUUAUGGACAUUUAGAGAGGCAAAAAUUGAUUGGGGUAGUCAGCGUGGUUUUUUUUUUGUGAGGAAAAUCGUGUCUCUCAAACUUGAUUGAAUUUUUUGAGGAAGUUACCAAAAAGGUUGAUGAUGGCAGAGCAAUAGACAAGGUUCUGCGUGGUAGGCUAAUUAGUAAAGUUAGGAUUCAGGGUGAGCUUGUCAAUUGGAUAUGUAAUUGGCCUAACGGCAGGAGUGAGAGUAAUGGUGGAGGGUUGCUUUUCGGACUGGAGGCCUGUGACCAACAGUAUUCCACUGGGAUUGGUUCUGGAUCCUCUUUUGUCAUUUUAUAUAAAUGAUUUGGAUGAGAAUAUAGGAAGGUAUGGUUAGUAAGUUUGCAGAUGACACCAAAAUUAGUAGCACAGUUGACAGUGAAGAACGUUAUCUAAGAUUACAAAGGGAUCUUGAUUAAAUGGGCUCAAAAAUGGAGGAAUGAGUUCAAUCUGAAUGAAUAUGAGGUGUUGAAUUUUGGUGUAACAAACAAGGGCAGGACUUAUAUAAUUAAUGGUAGGGCCUUGGAUAGUGUUUUAGAACAGAGGGAUCUAGGGGUGCAGGUACAUAAUUUUUUCUUCAAAGUUUGCAUCAAAUAUACACACAGGGUGUUUAAAAAGGCUUUUGGCAUGCUUGCUUUCAUUGCUCAGUCCUUUGAGUAUAAAAGUUGGGACGUUAUGUUGAGGUUAUACAGGAAAUUGGUGAGGCCUUUUCUGGAAUACUGUGUCCCGUUCUGAUUGCCCAGUUAUAGGAAGAAUAUUAUCAAACUGUACAUGGUUCAGAAGAGACUUACCAGGAUGUUGCCUGGCAUGGAAGGCUCGAGUUAUAAAGAUAGGCUGGAACUUUUUUCACUGGAGUGUAGGAGGUUGAAAGGCAACCUGAUAGAAGUUUAUAAAAUAAUGAGGGCUAUAGAUAGAGUUGAUGGUAGUUGUCUUUAGAUGGGGAAUUUCAAAACUAGGGGACACACUUAAGGUGAGAGGAAAGAGAUUUUAAAAAAAAAAACAAGGCAAUUUUUUACACAAAAGAUGGUUUGUGUGUGGAAUGAACUUUCUUAAGUAAGUGGUGAAUGCAAGUAUAAUUACAACAUUUAAAAGGCAUUUGGAUAGAUACAUGAGUGGGAAAGCUUUGGAGGGGUAUGGGUCAGGAGCAGGCAGGUGGGACUAGUUUAGUUUGCGAUUAUGUUCAGCAUGGACUGGUUGGACUGAAGAGUCUGUUUCCAUGCUGUAUGACUCUGACUUUAAGAAAUAACAAUACCAAUCCAGACCAUGUCGCUUGGUGCUUCUGUCACAGCAAGAUGAGUGAAGUAUUUGAAGACAUUUUUCAGCAUCAGCAGAAGAGCCUAAUGCACGUUGCAAAUCCCAGUGACUAAACUCUGUAAUUCUGGAAAGUGGUUGCUGCUUAAGCCUGCAUUGCCACUCCAAUUGGACAAUUCACCAUGCAAAAAUCUCCUAAAGGCUGUGCUGGAGAAACAGGAGAAAAGGUUCACUUUAAAUGAUGAAGGACAUGCAACCAAAAUAAUGACUCUCCUGUAAACUACAGCUCAGUUGGCCUUAACGCUAACUGUAUCAGGUCCAGAUGCUAGGAUGCUCAGCAUGGGGACCAAAAAGCUGUCCUACUGCCAAUGCCCCCACAUAACAGCAAUCCCUCUUCCCACCUUAUGUAUCAAGUUGUAUCAAUAUGUGUAAAAUCAGAUAUGAUCUUUAUAGGAUAUAUCUAUCAUUAAUAUUGUGAUGCAUCUAUAAAAUGGAUUGUGCAUGUAUCAGUGUUCUAUGUAUCUCUUUGUUGCUUAUCAACAUAAAGUGUGCUUGUGUGUCUGUGUUGUAUAUAAAAUGUCAUUGAGAAAUAAAUAGGAAAAGCAUUUUUCUUCCUGAAUGAUGUCAGAUUUAGACAGGUGAACAACAAAUAGAAACCCAUUUAAAGAGAUAUUUAUCAAGCUAAGUCAUAAGGUGAAUGUACAAGCAUCAGAAAAAUAAUUAAACUAGAAAAAAAUUUAAAGAAUUGCCUGAAUUUUAUUGAUGCAUUAAUUCAAUUGCCCCUGGUGGCUUGAUGGCUGGGAUUUGGUGCUUUCACCUCCAUGUCCCACAUUUGAUUCCUGGUCAGGGAAUGCUAUUUUACUAUAAAGGUUUACCUUGACCUAUUAACUGCUUCUAAUAAUGAAGGUUCGGUGUCGCCAUCACAAUUGAUAGAUAUGAUUUGUUGCACACCGAGGAAAAUAUUUCUAAAAUGACCAUGGACCUAUCGCAAGGCAGGUGAAGUUCGUAUCUAACUGUUACACCAUGAAAACUUGGACCCGUCUGACUUCGUGUCAGACAAGAAGAAGCUGAAGAACAGUUGCUCAUCUGAACAAAUAUUUCACCGUUCAGACCAUACAAGUCACAAAACAAUAUCCAUUGGCAGUCACUCAACUACUGAAGGAACUUGCAAAUGCUGGUUCCUGGAUCUUUGGAAUCAGGCCAUUCUCCCUCAGAUGAAAUUGGUUGUAAAUACUGACUUAGGAGAAACACCAUUUCAGUUCCAUGAAUGUGGUGAGUUUUCUUUGGGCCAUGAAUUUCCACUUGUCACUGACACAAAUGCUCAAAAUGUGACAUUCAUGGACAAAUUCGACACCUUUCUCCUGUGAUAAGUUAGUGAUACACAGGCACAGACACUACUGGAAAGGGUUACUCGGAGAUUCUGAUUUUGCAUUUUUCAAUUAGGGUAAUUACAAGAAGGGUAAGUUAAUUAUUAAAUGAGGGUGAAAUAUAACUUGUAUGGCUCAGCAUCAGGAUUGUUAACUUUCUCAAACAUCACUCACAUUAGCAACAGAAAUAACCCAUAGGAGAUUGGAGGUUUCAAACAUACAUUGAGCCAAUUUCCAGUUCCAAUUAAUUACUUUGGAGCCAAUAUCUCAAUAGGUUUAAUGACCCUUUUGGUGAUGUUUGUGUGUUUUUUAUUAAAUUUUACUCAACUGAUAUUUACAAAAUGCCUGCUUUGUACCUUUCAGAAUAGCUGCAGACCUGGGAAAGUUUGUGGUUCUUUUUCUUCCAGUCAAAGUGCACAACACAAAACUGUGCAUUAAUAAACUUAAACAGGGAAAACUGGGAGUGAUUUCACCACAAGAUAGUAUGCACUGUUACUACUGACCAUCAGUGUUGGAGAGAAUGAUUGCUUGUGGAUGUGGUGCCAAUCAAUUGAACAACUUUGUCAUGGAUGGUUUCUGGCUUCAGUGUUGUUGGAAAUGCACUAAUCCAAGCAAUGGGAGUAUUUCAUACACUCCUGAAUUGUGACUUGUAGAUGGUGGACAAGGUUUGGUGAAUCAGCAGGAACAAUUUAAGCAAUGGGAAACCUGUGGGAACAUGCUAUCAUAUGAACAACAGCAAGAUGAUUUAAAAGCAAUGUAUUUCUGGGCACUAGACUUCACGGCAAGACAGAUUGGCAUUGGAGUCGUGCAGAGCAGAUUUUCCACAGAGAAACCUAACAUAAAGAAAUUAAGAGACAACAAGGUGUAGAGCUGGAUGAACACAGCAGGCCAGGCAGCAACAGAGGAGCAUCCUACAUUUCUGAAGAAGGGCCCAGACCCAAAACGUCAGCUUUCCUGCUCCUCCAAUGCUACCUGGCCUGCUGCGUUCAUCCAGCUCUACACCUUGUUAUCUCAGAUUCUCCAGUGUCGGCAAUUCCUACUUUCUCUCAUAAAGAAAUUAACUUAUGAAGAAUAUUGCACACCCUCUGGCUAUCAUCUCUGGAACUAAAAGGCUAAGAAUUGAUUUGAUGGACUUAUGAACAAUAUGUGAAACUAAUGGAGAGAAACAACUUUUAUUGCUUAAACCGUAGAAGACGGACGCCAAGGUAGACCUUGUUGAAGUAGUAAUAGCUGUACAUUCCUCUUGGAAAAACCUCAAAAGUUUGGAACACUAAAGCAGUGGUGAAGCAACAUGAGAUCUUGCUUUGCAGCCCAGCGUGUAAGACUGCAGAAAUAAAUAAUUAGGGGAGAAUGGAAGAAUGAGGUAAGAUUUAAUCGCCCAAGACCUGUUUCCUACAUCAAUUAUACUCAAAGAUGUUCCCCUCUGCCCUUGUCAGGCAAAUAGUGGGCCAAACUAUCAUUAUCAAUCAUGUGUGAGAGUGUAUGCAUGCCAGUGAAGAAAAGUUGUUUCUUAAUAUGAGCUCAGUUUGUUCUAUUUUUGUGUGAAGACCAUCCUCCUUGAAACCCUUUGUAUCCUUUGCUAUGUGAAAUUCUUGCAGAUAUUUGUCCUUAAACAUAUUGCAGCAGCAGCCAGCAUAUAGAUAACAACAAACUUACUUGAUAUCUUAGUUGCAUAUG